CACGUAGGGGGCAAGCGUUAUUCGGAAUUAUUGGGCGUAAAGGGCGCGUAGGCGGCUUGAUGUGUCAAAGGUGAAAUCCCUCGGCUCAACUGAGGAACUGCCUUUGAAACUGUCUGGCUUGAGGCCGGGAGAGGGUAGCGGAAUUCCCAGUGUAGCGGUGAAAUGCGUAGAUACUGGGAGGAACACCGGUGGCGAAGGCGGCUACCUGGACCGGUUCUGACGCUGAUGCGCGAAAGCGUGGGUAGCAAACAGG
rnacentral:rRNA from 1 species